rnacentral:rRNA from 1 species
GUCGAGAAUCUUCGGCAAUGGGCGCAAGCCUGACCGAGCGACGCCGCGUGGAGGACGAAGGCCUUCGGGUUGUAAACUCCUGUCGAGGGGGAGGAAGGGGCAACCUUGACCGAUCCCUGGAGGAAGCACGGGCUAAGUUCGUGCCAGCAGCCGCGGUAAGACGAACCGUGCGAACGUUAUUCGGAAUCACUGGGCUUAAAGCGCGUGUAGGCGGGCCGGCACGUCGGUAUCUGAAAGCCCCCGGCUCAACCGGGGAAUGGGGGCCGAUACGACCGGCCUGGAGGGACGUAGGGGGACCUGGAACUUCCGGUGGAGCGGUGAAAUGCGUUGAGAUCGGAAGGAACGCCCGUGGCGAAAGCGAGGUCCUGGACGUCUGCUGACGCUGAGACGCGAAAGCCAGGGGAGCGAACGGGAUUAGAUACCCCGGUAGUCC